rnacentral:rRNA from 1 species
UGGGGAAUAUUGCACAAUGGGCGAAAGCCUGAUGCAGCAACGCCGCGUGAGGGAUGACGGCCUUCGGGUUGUAAACCUCUUUUAGCAGGGAAGAAGCGAGAGUGACGGUACCUGCAGAAAAAGCGCCGGCUAACUACGUGCCAGCAGCCGCGGUAAUACGUAGGGCGCGAGCGUUGUCCGGAAUUAUUGGGCGUAAAGAGCUCGUAGGCGGUUUGUCGCGUCUGCUGUGAAAUCCCGAGGCUCAACCUCGGGCUUGCAGUGGGUACGGGCAGACUAGAGUGCGGUAGGGGAGACUGGAACUCCUGGUGUAGCGGUGGAAUGCGCAGAUAUCAGGAAGAACACCGAUGGCGAAGGCAGGUCUCUGGGCCGUUACUGACGCUGAGGAGCGAAAGCAUGGGGAGCAAACAGGAUUAGAUACCCUGGUAGUCCAUGCCGUAAACGUUGGGUGCUAGACGUGGG